rnacentral:rRNA from 1 species
GCGCAAGCGAAUUAAGGGCGCAUGGGGGAUACCUAGGCUCUCAGAGGCGAUGAAGGACGUGAUAAGCUGCGAAAAGCUACGGGGAGCAGCACAUAUGCAUUGAUCCGUAGAUAUCCGAAUGGGGCAACCCAGUCAGGUGAAGCCUGAUUACCCUACGGGGGGCAAACGCGGGGAACUGAAACAUCUAAGUACCCGCAGGAGAAGAAAACAAUAGUGAUUCCGUAAGUAGUGGCGAGCGAACACGGACAAGCCCAAACCAGCCUGGUUACGGCCAAGCUGGGGUUGUAGGACCCACCAAGUGGAUAAAUAGCGAACUGGAAUGGCAUGGGAAGGCCAAUCGAAGAGGGUGAGAAUCCCGUACAGGCAGUGAUUUUAUCUGAGUGGGUAUCCUGAGUAAGUGGGGACCGGUGAAAUCCCCUCUGAAUCCGGCGGCACCAUCCGCCAAGGCUAAAUACUCCUGAGAGACCGAUAGUGAACGAGUACCGUGAGGGAAAGGUGAAAAGUACCGCGAGCAGCGGGGUGAAAUAGAACUUGAAACCAUGCGCUUACAAGCGGUCGGAGCCUUCGGGUGACGGCGUGCCUUUUGCAUAAUGAGCCUACGAGUUACGGUUACUGGCAAGGUUAAUGUAUGAAGUACAGGAGCCGAAGCGAAAGCGAGUCUGAAAUGGGCGAUUAGUCAGUGGCCGUAGACGCGAAACUUUGUGAUCUACCCAUGAUCAGGUUGAAGCGCUGGUAACACAUCGUGGAGGACCGAACCGGUAAACGUUGAAAAGUUUUCGGAUGAAUUGUGGGUAGGGGUGAAAGGCCAAUCAAACUGAGAAAUAGCUCGUACUCCCCGAAAUGUUUUUAGGAACAGCGUCGUGGUUGAGUCAUGUUCAGGUAGAGCUACUGAUAGGACUAGGGGGAGUCAAAUCCUACCAAAUUCUGACAAACUCCGAAUGGGGCAUGAUAUACACGGCAGUGAGGGCUGGGGUGCUAAGGUCCCAGUCCGAGAGGGGAACAACCCAGAGCAUCAGCUAAGGUCCCAAAAUAUAUGCUAAGUUGAACUAAGGGGGUCCGACUGCAGAGACAGCCAGGAUGUUAGCUUGGAAGCAGCUAUACAUUUAAAGAGUGCGUAACAGCUCACUGGUCGAGCGGGGCGGGCAUCGAUAAUAAACGGGCAUCAAGCAUAUUACCGAAGCUAUGCGAUUGUAUUUAUACAUAUCGGUAGGGGAGCAUUCUCACAGGGGUGAAGGUUUGGCGUGAGCUGGGCUGGACUGGUGAGAAAAGCAAAUGUAGGCAUAAGUAACGAUAAUGCGGAUGAGAAAUCCGCACACCGAAAGACUAAGGAUUCCUCCGCUAUGCUAAUCAACGGAGGGUUAGGCGGGGCCUAAGGAAUAGCCGACAGGCGAUCUCCGAUGGACAGCAGGUUAAUAUUCCUGCCCCUGCAUGCAGUGUGAAAGAGUGACGGAGCGACGUGGUGUGUACGUACUGACGGAAUAGUGCGUUGAGCCGAGCCUACGGGCAAAGCGAACAUGCGAAGACGCUUCCAAGAAAAGCUUUUGAAACACCAGCUGUAUGCAGCCCGUACCGUAAACCGACACAGGUAGUCGAGAAGAAUAUUCUAAGGUGCUCGAGUGAAUCACGGCUAAGGAACUCGGCAAAUUAACCCUGUAACUUCGGGAGAAGGGGAGCCUCCUCUGCAAAGAGAGGCCGCAGAGAAAUGGCCCAGGCGACUGUUUAGCAAAAACACAGGGCUCUGCCAAAACGAAAGUUGACGUAUAGGGCCUGACACCUGCCCGGUGCUGGAAGGUUAAGAGGGGAUGUCAUCGCAAGAGAAGCAUUGAAUCGAAGCCCCAGUAAACGGCGGCCGUAACUAUAACGGUCCUAAGGUAGCGAAAUUCCUUGUCGGGUAAGUUCCGACCUGCACGAAUGGUGUAACGAUCUGGGCACUGUCUCGGCCGUGAGCUCGGUGAAAUUGUAGUAGCGGUGAAGAUGCCGCUUACCCGCCACGGGACGGAAAGACCCCGUGCACCUUUACUAUAGCUUUGCAUUGUUUUCGGGUCAGGGAUGUGUAGGAUAGGUGGGAGGCUGUGAACCGGUGUCGCCAGGCAUCGGGGAGCCAACGUUGAAAUACCACCCUUCGCUGGCCUGGGAUCUAACU